rnacentral:rRNA from 1 species
UAAAUUAGCCUCCACAAUGAACGGGAAUUACUCCCUUACCUAAGAACUACACCUCUAAGAAUUAGUAUUCUAACAUAAAGUGAUCCGACUAUUCGAUCAACGAACCAAGUUACCCUGGGGAUAACAGCGCAAUCCACUUCAAGAGCUCCUAUCGACAAGUGGGUUUACGACCUCGAUGUUGGAUCAGGGUGUCCCAGUGGUGCAGCAGCUACUAAAGGUUCGUUUGUUCAACGAUUAAAACCCUACGUGAUC